ACAUCCGCCGGAAGAACGGAAUUCAUUGAUGUUGAAUUUUAUGAGUAAUC
rnacentral:tRNA from 2 species